AAGUCGUAACAAGGUUUCCGUAGGUGAACCUGCGGAAGGAUCAUUAAUAAUCCAUAUAAAUUUGAUUCCUCUUCCUUGAGCUUUAUAAUAAGUGAUAGGAAGGGCGAUAAAAAAUAUAUUGCAGGGGGGAGAGAAGAAAGAGUGCUCAAAUACUUGGGUAUUUUCUCCCCCAAAGGUGAUAUAAAAAACCUAUAUCUAAAAUCCAUGUAUAGCCCCCGAUAUAUAGGGGGGGUUCAAUGCACAGAGGAUAGAAAUUUUACAUUAUGUAAAAAUAUAGAUACAACUUUUAACAAUGGAUCUCUUGGCUCUU
rnacentral:misc_RNA from 1 species